AACAACAUAGCUUUAUUCAUAACUUUUACAACUAAUAAUUAAUAUCACAACUUCUCAGUAGUUAAUCGUCUGGAUUUUAUUUAUCACUGUAUACACUCUGAUUUUCGGCCUGCUUUAUGCAUGAGGAGCCUUGGCAGCCACCUACAUGGUCUUACGGUGUGGCAUAAGUGGCGGCAGCGGCCGGUGGCUCAUAGCCUGGCUGCCUCGGCGGCCCGUACCUCGGCGACCGAGGACCAAUGAUUUGCGUACGGGAUCCGUCCAGAACAGCUACACCUAUGAACAUGAUCAAUCGUCAUUCCGGCCGCCUCAUCUUAGAAAAUUCCCUUACAAAAAUGGCAUGCACACAGUUCUUUACGUACCUUCUUGGACCGCUGCUGAGCAUGGCGACGGCAUGAAACAGUAAACGAUAGCUAGGAACGCCAUAGCUAAUGCUAGGGAAGAAGAACGGUGCAUAUUCUCAUCUGCCCGGCUUCUCAGUGCGUACGUUGUUCACUUUGUGGGCCAUAUGUUAA
rnacentral:lncRNA from 1 species